AAAAAAGGCCGGGCAUGGUGGCUGAUGCCUAUAAAUUCCCAGCACUUUGGGAGGCCAAAGUCAUGAAUAACUUGAGGUCAGGAGUUUGAGACCAGCCUGGCCAACAUGGCGAAACCCCAUUUCUACUAAAAAUACAAAAAAUUAGCUGGGCGUGGUGGUGGGUGCCUGUAAUCCCAGCUACUUGGGAGACUGAGGCAGGAGAAUCACUUGAACCUGGGAGGUGGAGGUUGCAGUGAGCCAAGAUCAUGCCACUGCACUCCAGCCUGGGUGACAGAAAGAGACUCCAUCUAAAAAAAAAGGAAAAAAAAAAAAAAAGAAGGCCAGGUGCAGUGGCUUAUACCUGUAAUCCCAGCACUUUGGGAGGCCGAGGCAGGCAGAUGACAAGGUCAAGAGAUCGAGACCAUCCUGGCCAACAUGGUGAAACCCCAUCUCUACUAAAAAUACAAAAGGUUAGCUGGGCAUGGUGGUGCACACCUGUAGUCCCAGCUACUCAGGAGGUUGAGGCAGGAGAAUUGCUUGAACCCAGGAGGCCGAAGUUGCAGUGAGCCGAGAUCCCUCCACUGCACUCCAGCCUGCACUCCAGCCUAACGCCUGGUGACAGAGCGAGGCUCUGUCUCAAAAAAAAAGUAAAAAGAAAAAAAAAAUGUUUGCUUUAUUGCCAUGAAAAGGUCAUACCAGUUUUUACAUCCACCAACACGAGUUUCUUUUCCAAGUCUUCAACAGCCUGUGAGAGAUAGUUAAAGCAAAGUUGUUCAGAGCACAGGCUUGAGAAUAAGAUUUCAAAGGUAUGAAUCCUCUCCCUUUUUUUUCCUUUUUAGAGGCAGGGUCUUGCUAUGUUGUUCAGGCUGGUCUCAAACUCUUGACCUAAGCAACCCUGACACCUCGGCCUCCAAAUACACUGGGAUUACAGGUGUGAACUACCUUGCCCGACUUCCACUUUCUAGCUAUCUGAUCUUCAGAAAAUCAGUUAAAUUCUCUGGGCCAUAAUUUACUAAUAGGUUUCUUGUAAGUAUUAACAAUUAGCUACUAUUAUUUACCUCCUUUAGUUGCUGAGACUCCUAUGCACAAAAUAUACUUGAUAUGUGCCUCAGAACCUAAUAACCAAAGGUAAUCAGAACUAUAGGUAGUUGUAUGACCUCUAACAAGCUUCUUUCUACCCACCCUGUUCAGUUGUUCCCAGGUCUGACUUCAAGGCGCAAAAUGGCGGCCUCAUCUUUUGCUGUCGUGCGAGCGUCCCGGCUGUCAGUGGAGCCUGAAGAGUUGGGCGCAGUUACUGGGGUAUCCAAAGCUGAGGCAAGUUGACCAGAUCAUUUGAGUUCCUGCCGGGAUGAUGGUGACGCUGCUCCUGGAGCCCGCCGGCCGCUGCUGCUGGGGCUAGCCGGUGCGCAUCGCCGUGCGCGGCCUGGCCCCGGAGCAGCCGGUCACGCUCCGCGCGUCCCUGCGCGACGAGAAUGGCGCGCUCUUCCGGGCCCACGCGCGCUACCGCGCGGACGCCCGCGGGGAGCUGGACCUGGAGCGCGCGCCCGUAUUGGGCGGCAGCUUCGCGGGGUGCGAGCCCAAGGAGCUGCUCUAGACGUUGGAGCCCGAGAAAGCCUUGGGGCGGCUUGUGAAGCGCGACGUACGGACGCCCGUCCCCGUGGAGCUGGAGGUGCUGGACGGCCACGACCCCGAGCCCGGGCGGCUGCUGUGCCAGGCGCGGCACGAGCGCGACUUCCUCCAGCCGGGCGGGCGGUGCGAGCCGGUGCAUGCGGGCCGAGUGCGCAUGCCACGCUCUUCCUGCCGCCAGGUGAGCCACCUCUUUGUCACUCCAGGCGAGCAGCCGCCUCCUUCUGUAGGGCAGGACCAGGUGUUGAUUGUGGCCUCUAAUGGUGUCUUUGUCAUCAUUGGUUUAUGUAAAUUAGCAUUUACAAUAGGAGGAAGGCCUCUUGUUGGCAAAUGGAAAUUUGAAGUUACUGGAUUUUUUUUUUUGAGACGGAGUUUUGCUCUUGUUACCCAGGCUGGAGUGCAAUGGCACAAUCUCAGCUCACUGCAACCUCCGACUCCUAGGUUCAGGCAAUUCUCCCACCUCAGCCUCCUGAGUAGCUAGGAUUACAGGCAUGCGCCACCUUGCCCAGCUAAUUUUUUGUAUUUUUAGUAGAAACGGGGUUUCACCAUGUUGACCAGGAUGGUCUCGAUCUGUUGACCUCGUGAUCCACCCGCCUCGGCCUCCCAAAGUGCUGGGAUUACAGGCUUGAACCACCAUGCCCGGCCUACUGGAUACUUUUAUGUUACAUAAAAAGCAGUCAGGCCAGGCUUGAUGGCUCAUGCCUGUAAUCCCAACACUUUGGGAGGCCGAGGUGGGUGGAUCACCUGAGGUUGGGAGUUCAAGACCAGCCUGACCAACUUGGAGAAACCCCGUCUCUACUAAAAAUACAAAGUUAGCCGGCGUGGUGGUUUAUGCCUGUAAUCCCAGCUACUCUGGAGGCUAAGAUAGGAGAAUUGCUUGAACCUGGGAGGCGGGGGUUGCAGUGGGCCAAGAUCAUGCCAUUGCACUCCGGGCUGAGCAACAAGAGCGAAACUCUGCCUCAAAAAAAAAAAAAAAAAAGCAAUCAGCCAAUGUAAAAAUGAAAUGAUGCUUAUGAUGCGUAUCCUUAUUAAUAAUUAAAGAAAUGCAAAAUAAAACAACAGAGUACAUUUCACACCCUCAGAAGUUGCAGACAUUUAGAAGUCAACAUUAUCAAUUGCUGACCAGUAUGUGGAGGAAAUGAAACUCACUGCUAGAAGGAGUCAGCAUAUUCAUCUACUCUGGCAAAUAAUUUGUCUUAAUUUAGAAAGUUGAAUAUGUGCCUGGGCGUGGUGAUUCACACCUGUAAUCCCAGCACUUUGGGAGGCUGAGGUGGGCGGAUCACCUGAGGUUGGGAGUUCGAGACCAGUCUGACCAAUAUGGUGAAACCCUGUCUCUACUAAUAAUGCAAAAAAUUAGCCAGGCGUGGUGUCAUGCACCUGUAGUCCCAGCUAUUCAGGAGGCUGAGGCAGGAGAAUUGCUUGACCCCAGGUGGCGGAGGUUGCAGUGAGCCAAGAUCAUGCCACUGCACUCCAGCCUGGGUGACAGAGCAAGGCUCUGUCUCAUACAUACAUACUGUGGAAGAAAAGCAUGUAAUAUAAAAGAUAUAUCAGGCCAGGCAUGGUGGCUCACGCCUGUAAUCCCAGCACUUUGGGAGGCCGAGGCGGGUGGAUCACGAGGUCAAGAGAUCAAGACCAUCCUGGUCAACACAGUGAAACCCCGUCUCUACUAAAAAUACAAAAAAUUAUCUGGGCAUGGUGGCGCGUGCCUGUAAUCCCAGCUACUCAGGAGGCUGAGGCAGGAGAAUUGCCUGAACCCAGGAGGCAGAGGUUGCGGUGAGCCGAGAUCGUGCCAUUGCACUCCAACCUGGGUAACAAGAGCGAAACGCCAUCUAAAAAAAAAAGAUAUAUCAGAUUUGAGUUUCUCCCUUAAGAAUGGAAGUUCACAUCUUGCCUAUAAACUGAUUACUACUUAGAUAUAAAACUACCAAAAAAUUUUAAAACAAAUACAUAUUAGUUCUUUGAUAUCUUCUCCUUGGAUUAAUAAGAAUUUUCCUAGGGCAAAUAAAUUUUAUGUUCCUGUUUAUACAUAUGGACCUUUAGGAUUUAUCAGUUUUAUCAGUUUAAAAGCUGAUAAAACACUAUUUAGAUGAAUUACAUAAGUGAUUUUAACAAUGACAAAUAACAUUGGAAAUAAAUAACAAUUUAGGCUAGGCAUGAUGGCUCACUCUUGUAAUGCCAGCACUUUGGGAGGCCAAGGCCAGUGGAUUGCUUGAGUUCAGGAGUUCAAGACAAGCCUGGGAAACAUGGUAAAACCCCAUCUCUACCAGAAACCAAAAAAUAGCUAGACAUAGUGGUGCACGCCUAUAGUCCCAGCUAUUUGAGAGGCCAAGGUGGGAGAAUCGCUUGAGCCUGGGGGCAGAGGUUGCAGCGAGCUGAGAUCAUGCCACUGCACUCCAACCUGGGCAACAGAGCAAGACACUGUCUCAAAAAAAAGAAAAAAAAAGAAAGAAAAGAUAAUAUUUAUAUCAUUUAAUAUAAAUAGUUCCACAAUAAACUUGUUUUUUCUUAAUCCUUAGUUGUAUUUAAAGGAAAAAAUAUCUUAAUUUAUUAUUCUUUUCUUUUCUUUUUUUGGAGGCAGAGUCUCACUCUGUUGCCCAGGCUGGAGUGCAGUGGCACAAUCAUGGCUCACUGCAGCCUCAACCUCGUAUGUUUAAGCUAUCCUCCCACCUCAGCCUCUCUAGCAGCUGAGACCACAGGCACACACCACCAUGCCUGGCUAAUUUUUAAUUUUUUGUAGAGAUGGGGUCUCCCAAUGCUGCCCAGGCAAGUCUUGAAUUACUGAGCUUAAACAAUCCUGCUGCCUCAGCCUCCCAAAUUGCUGAAAUUACAGGUGUAAUCCACCACUACCAGCUUCUAGCACCAUUUUUCUAAAGGAAUUCAUGAUCCGAUAGCAGUAGAAUAUAACCAGAUCUUCAGUACUGAGAUGAUUCCUGAGGUGAAGCUACCUCCUGUGUUACUCUGCAAUCCAGUAAUGCAGCUGGUGCCAUGUGUUGGUGCCAUGUCUGUCCAAACUUCCACAAGAAUGCCAGUGCUGGGCACAGAGCUCCAUUUAGACUACACAUGACAUGAGGCUCUGCCAACUCUUAGAGAUGACACAAUCUGGGACAGUUCCUCAUAGCUGGCCUGGCCAAGUCCACCCCAAGAUGCUAGUCCGUGACACAGAAUUUCAAGUCAUAUUGUUUUAUCUUUUCCCUUGCAGUUAUACAAUAUACGACUCCUUUAGAAAAGUGCAAUAGUUAAAACUUGUUUUAGUAGAUGCUUGUUUAUAGUAAACAAGCAUAAAUAGUAAAAUUUGUUUAGUAGAUACAAUAUACGACUCUCUUAGAAAAGUGCAAUAGUAAAACUUGUUUUUAGUAGAUCCCACACUUAAGUCUGCUGAAACCUUUUGAGAUCUUAAGCACCCUAUUCCCCAUUCUUAGAAAUUCAGGCUGGCGAAUAUUAGAUUCAAAAGCACGACAGAUGAGCCAGUGGGUGUAGAAGCACAUGCCUGUAAUCCCAGCUACUUGGAAGGCUGAGGCAGUAGGGUUGCUUGAACCCAGGAUUAUAGGCAUGAGCACCUGACCCAUCUAUUUUAUUUAUUUUAAAAUAGAUGCCUGGUACAGUGGCUCGUGCCUGUAAUCUCAGCACUUUGGGAGGCUGAGGUGGGCAGAUCACCUGAGGUCAGGAGUUCAAGACCAGCCUGCCCAAUAUGAUGAAACCCCACCUCUGCUAGAAAUACAAAAAUUAGCCAGGUGUGGUGGUGUGCGCCUGUAAUCCCAGCUACUUGGGAGGCUGAGAUAAGAGAAUCGCUUGAACCCGGUAAGCAGAGGUUGCACUGAGCCACGAUCACACCACUGCAUUCCAGCUUGGGCUCCAGAGGCUGAGACAGGAGAAUCACUUGAACCCAGGAGGCGGAGGUUGCAGUGAGCCAAGAUCAAGCCAUUGCACUCCAGCCUGGGCAACAAGAGUGAAAAUCCAUCUCAAAAAAAAAAAAGAAAUGGGUUCUCCCAAUGUUGCCGGUGUUGGUCUUAAACUCCUGGACUCAAGCAAUCCUCCCACCUUUGUCUCUCCCAAAGUGCUGGGAUUACAAGCAUGAGCCACCACACCUGGCCAUGAUGAAUAAUUUUAAAGGGAACCACCACAUAACCAAUACCCAAGUCUAAUGGGCAUGGUUUUUAAAAGUAUAUUUAGGCUGGGUGUGGUGGCUCAUGCCUGUAAUUCCAGCACUAUGGGAGGCCGAGGUGGGUGGAUCAUCUGAGGUUGGGAGUUCAAGACCAGUCUGACCAACACGGAGAAACUCUGUCUCUACUAAAAAUACACAAAUUAGCUGGGCACUGUGGCACGUGCCUAUAAUCCCAGCUACUCGAGAGGCUGAGGCAGAAGAAUCACUUAAACCCAGGAGGCAGAUGUUGUGGUGAGCCGAGAUUGUGCCAUUGCACUCCAGCCUGGGGAACAAGAGCAAAACUUCAUCUCAAAAAAAACCAAAACAACACAAACUCCACCCCCCAAUCACUUAGUACACUUUAUUUGUUUGUUUGUUUAUUUAUUUAUUUUUUUGAGACAGCGUCUCACUCUGUUGUCCAGGCUGGAGUGCAGAAACAAUCUUGGCUCACUGCAACCUCUGCCUCCCAGGUUCAAGCAAUUCACCCACCUCAGCCUCCCAAGUAGCUGGGACUACAGGUGCACACUACCACACCUGGCUAAUUUUUGUAUUUUUUGGUAGAGAUGGAGUUUUACCAAGUUAGUCAAGCUGGUCUCUAACUCCUGACUUCAAGGGAUCCACCCACCUUGGUCUCCCAAAGUGAUGGGAUUACAGAUAUGAGCUACCGUGCCUGGCCCCUGUUGUACACGUUAAAUAUACUUUAAAAAACCAUGUUGGCCAGGCUGGUCUCGAACUCCUGACUUCAAGUGAUCCACUCUCCUUGGCCUCCUAAAAUGAUGGGAUUACAGGCGUGAGCUACCAUACUUGGCCCACGUUGUACACUUUAAAUAUAUAUAUAUAUAUUUUGAGACUGAGUUUUGCUCUUGUUGCCUAGGCUGCAGUAAAGUGGUGUCAUCUCGGUUCACUGCAACCUCCACCUCCCAGGUUCAAGUGAUUCUCCUGCCUUAGCCUCCCGAGUAGCUGGAAUUACAGGCCCACACUACCAAGCCUGGCUAAUUUUUGUAUUUUUAGUAGAGAUGAGGUUUCUUCAUGUUGGUCAGGCUGGUCUUCAACUCUCGACCUCAGGUGAUCCGCCCAUCUCCACCUCCCAAGGUGUUGGGAUUACAGGCAUGAGCCACGGCACCUGGCUUGUUUUUGUUUUAAGAGACAGGCUCUGGGCAGGCUGGAAUGCAGUGGCGCUAUCAUAGCUCAUUGUGGCCUCAAACUCCUGGGCUCCAGCCAUCCUCCCGUUUCAGCCUCCUGAGUAGCUGGGACUAUAGACACUUGCCACCGUGCCCAGCUAAUUUUUAAUUUUUUGUAGAAACUGGGUCUGAUGGCUGGGUGCAGUGGCUCAUGCCUAUAAUCCCAGCACUUUGGGAGUCCAAGGUGGGUGGAUCACGAGGUCAAGAGAUCGAGACCAUCCUGGUCAACAUGGUGAAACCCCAUCUUUACUAAAAAUACAAAAAUUAGCUGGGCAUGGUGGCACAUGCCUGUAAGUCUCAGCUACUCAGAAGGCUGAGGCAGGAGAAUUGCUUGAACCCAGGAGGUGGAGGUUGCGAUGAGCUGAGAUUGUGCCAUUGCACUCCAGCCUUGGUAACAAGAGUGAAACUCUGUCUCAGAAAAAAAAAAAAAAAGAAAGAAACCGGAUCUGCUGACCUUGUGCUCCGCCCACCUCAGCCUCCCCAAAAGCAGGGAUUAUAGGCAUGAGCCACCGCACCUUGCCCAUUCUGGUCACAUUCUGCAGAAAAAUUGAAGUGAGGGGCAGAGCAGUUUGCCAAGGUCAAAGAUCCUGCAAGCCAAUGGCAAGGCAGGAUCUGAACCUGGGGCUUCAGAUCCUGGGGCUCUAUCUGAUUAAAUACCAAGAGAGAGUGCUGAGAUUUUUUUGGUGGUCGACAGUCCCUGAGGCCUUGGGAAAGCCAUUUUUAGAGCAUCUCGACCAUUUGGAAAAUUGAAUCUUUACCAGGGCUUCCCACCUCCCAUUGCCCCUUCUCUGAAGGUGAGCCCCCUCCCAUAGAACCACCCCAACCACUCAGAACCCAAGCCUUCUUGCUUUCACAUGCUGAAGCUAAUAUUACCCUCCACCCCACCCCAACAUCAGGGACCCUGCCCAAGCCCUUCCCUGAGAACCCUUCCCCCUCUCAUGAGGCCUCCUUCCCAGCCCUGCAGAACAGCCUCCUUUAUAAGAGUGGCUAAGAUCCCACUGAAACCUUCCCUAUAAACUUUAUACAAUUGAUCAUGAAAGAAGGGAGGGGGCAAAAUGGAAAUCAGCCCAGCUUGUAGCACACACAGCAUUGGUAAUGAGGUCAGCUGCUCUCCGACCCCUUCUUCAGAGUUGUUUAUGGCCUGUUGCCCCAGAAUCACAUAGACCCUGUCACAAGGUCAUAUUUCCCCUUCAGUGCUCUACAGAUAACAACUUGAACAUUAUGAAACCUUAACUUUUCCAUUUGAGAUAUUCUUUCAGGUCCUGCAUACCAAUGAAACUGAGGCGGGCUAGGUAGUCAAGGGAGUGACCGUGUUCUCACAAUGAGCCUCUGCAUUCACGUUGUAAUUGAGCUCAUUCAAACACAGCUACCUUCAGUAGGGAAUUUCCCUCAUAGACAGCAUGGGCAUUCUGAUUUUACCCGUCCUAAAACUGACAUUUUGCUCAUUAUAAUAGUAAAAGACACCCCUGCAUGGAGAUUUAAUAUGCUAGUGAGAUGUGUAACAUAUGAACAAGCAUGUGCACCCAGAAGACCACCCGGAACAUGCUUACCAGCAACACCUCUUUCCACCACCUUAUGAAUAAUCAUGUAAAACUCCCGUAAAGGGUGUCUCCCUAUUGCCAAUCUCUGCCAUCUCACCCUUAUGAGCAGCCUGCCCUGAAUACUCUCUUUGAGGGUGUACUGUCUAUUCUGCCCGUAACUUUCAAAAUACAAUUUUUCCUUUACAAUAAAUUACUCUAUGCUG